CGAAUUAAAAGUUUUAGUUUGCCAUCGGCGGGCAGAGCUCUUAGUCGUCAAUAUUACAUCAAACUAACGGUGCUUACGUGCCACACGACGCACACGAACACACAACGCCGCCUUCACCUUGAAGUGCCUGUCAAAUUGUUAGAAUCACUUCCUAUUUAUUUGUCGUUAUUUUGAACGGAACUUCUUACACCGCGAGAGCGAAAAAUAGUGGUGUCAAGGUAGCCUGCAUACAGGCAAGCGGACGGCAUACAAUUAUCACGUGUUUGACUCUGGCCACAAUUUUGUAGCCAACGAUCACGCGCGAUCCAUUCUCACUCUCUCCCAGCCACUCGUACUCGCGGACCUGGCUGAUUUUAGAUUUUAAUACGUCCGACUGGGCUCUCCCGCGAUGUUCUCACUACAGCAGCUGGUCCGAGCGGCGGCAUCUACGCCAAACGGAGGCAGUGAUCUCUACAGGCUGCUUCGGCACCUGGGCAACGCGACGGCAGCAAACACGACCACAAGCACAGCGGCAGGUACAGCUAGAGCUAUACC